AUUGAACGCUGGCGGCAGGCCUAACACAUGCAAGUCGAACGAGUGGCGGACGGGUGAGUAAUGUCUGGGAAACUGCCCGAUGGAGGGGGAUAACUACUGGAAACGGUAGCUAAUACCGCAUACCAUCGGAUGUGCCCAGAUGGGAUUAGCUUGUAGGUGAGGUAACGGCUCACCUAGGCGACGAUCCCUAGCUGGUCUGAGAGGAUGACCAGCAACACUGGAACAGAGACACGGUCCAGCCUCGUACGGGAGGCAGCAGUGGGUAAUAUUGAAGAGUGGGUGCAAGCCUGAUGCAGGCAUGCCGUGUGUAUGAAGAAGGCCUUCGGGUUGUAAAGUACUUUCAGCGGGGAGGCGUUACCCGCAGAAGAAGCACCGGCUAACUCCGUGCCAGCAGCCGCGGUAAUAC
rnacentral:rRNA from 1 species